GACGAACGCUGGCGGCGUGCCUAAUACAUGCAAGUUGAGCGCUGAAGGUUGGUACUUGUACCGACUGGAUGAGCAGCGAACGGGUGAGUAACGCGUGGGGAAUCUGCCUUUGAGCGGGGGACAACAUUUGGAAACGAAUGCUAAUACCGCAUAAAAACUUUAAACACAAGUUUUAAGUUUGAAAGAUGCAAUUGCAUCACUCAAAGAUGAUCCCGCGUUGUAUUAGCUAGUUGGUGAGGUAAAGGCUCACCAAGGCGAUGAUACAUAGCCGACCUGAGAGGGUGAUCUGCCACAAUGGGACUGAGACACGGCCCAAACUCCUACGGGAGGCAGCAGUAGGGAAUCUUCGGCAAUGGACGAAAGUCUGACCGAGCAACGCCGCGUGAGUGAAGAAGGGUUUCGGAUCGUAAAACUCUGUUGGUAGAGAAGAACGUUGGUGAGAGUGGAAAGCUCAUCAAGUGACGGUAACUACCCAGAAAGGGACGGCUAACUACGUG
rnacentral:rRNA from 1 species